GACGAACGCUGGCGGCGUGCCUAAUACAUGCAAGUAGAACGCGGAAUACAGGAGUUGUCUCGUCUGGGAGGGUAAGGGGAGGGGUGCGUACCGUGGAUUUGACCUACCUUCCCGCGGGGGGUGAUAAUUGCGGAUGAUAUCUAAGACCCAAUGAUUUAUCGGCUCAGGAUGGGUUCGCGUUUGAUUAGCUAGUUGGUCGCGUAAAAGCCUACCAAGGUGACGAUACAUAGCUGGUCUGAGAGGAUGAUCAGCAACACUGGGACAGAGACACGGCCCAGACUCCUACGGGAGGCAGCAGUGGGGAAUAUGGGACAAUGGGCGAGAGCCUGAUCCAGCAAUGCCGCGUGAGUGAUUAAGGCCUUAGGAUUGUAAAUCUCUGUUACCCGGGAUGAUAAUGACAGUACCGUGAGAAUAAGCUCCGGCUAACUCCGUG
rnacentral:rRNA from 1 species